GUGCCAGCCGCCGCGGUAAUACCGGCAGCUCAAGUGAUGUCCCAUAUUAUUGGGCCUAAAGCGUCCGUAGCUGGCUGACCAAGUCUCCCGGGAAAUCCACCCGCUCAACGGGUAGGCGUCCGACGGAAACUGCAUAGCUUGGGACCGGAAGGCUCGAAGGGUACGUGCGGGGUAGGAGUGAAAUCCCAUAAUCCCGCACGGACCACCGAUGGCGAAAGCACUUCGAGAAAACGGAUCCGACAGUGAGGGACGAAAGCCAGGGUCUCCAACCGGAUUAGAAACCCUUGUAGUCC
rnacentral:rRNA from 1 species